AGAGCGAACGCUGGCGGCAGGCUUAACACAUGCAAGUCGAGCGGGCGUAGCAAUACGUCAGCGGCAGACGGGUGAGUAACGCGUGGGAACGUACCUUUUGGUUCGGAACAACACAGGGAAACUUGUGCUAAUACCGGAUAAGCCCUUACGGGGAAAGAUUUAUCGCCGAAAGAUCGGCCCGCGUCUGAUUAGCUAGUUGGUGAGGUAAUGGCUCACCAAGGCGACGAUCAGUAGCUGGUCUGAGAGGAUGAUCAGCCACAUUGGGACUGAGACACGGCCCAAACUCCUACGGGAGGCAGCAGUGGGGAAUAUUGGACAAUGGGCGCAAGCCUGAUCCAGCCAUGCCGCGUGAGUGAUGAAGGCCCGUAGGGUUGUAAAGCUCUUUUGUGCGGGAAGAUAAUGACGGUACCGCAAGAAUAACGCCCCGGCUAACUUCGCGCCAGCAGCCGC
rnacentral:rRNA from 1 species